rnacentral:rRNA from 1 species
CGCGUAGGCGGUUUAUCAAGCUUGAUGUGAAAGACCCCGGCUUAGCCGGGGGAACGCGUUAAGAACUGUUAGACUAGAGUAUAAGAGGGGGAGUUGGAAUUCCUAGUGUAGGGGUGAAAUCUGUAGAUAUUAGGAAGAACACCGGUGGCGAAGGCGAACUCCUGGCUAUAUACUGACGCUGAGGCGCGAAAGUGUGGGGAGCGAACAGGAUUAGAUACCCUGGUAGUCC